UACAGAGGCCUCGAGCGUUAGGCGGAAUCACUGGGCUUAAAGCGUGUGUAGGCGGAUCGUUAAGUGCUUUGUGAAAUCCCACGGCUCAACCGUGGAAUGGCUUGGCAUACUGGCGGUCUUGGGCCACCUAGGGGCGAGCGGAACAGACGGUGGAGCGGUGAAAUGCGUAGAUAUCGUCUGGAACGCCCAUGGUGAAAACAGCUCGCUGGGGGUGCGCCGACGCUGAGACACGAAAGCCAGGGGAGCGAACGGG
rnacentral:rRNA from 1 species